GGGAUCUUAGCUCAGCUGGGAGAGCGUCUGCCUUACAAGCAGAAUGUCACAGGUUCGAGCCCUGUAGGUCCCA
rnacentral:tRNA from 1 species